UGGGCCCGGUUGUGUGUGUGUGUGUGUGUGUGUGUGUGUGUUAAGGUCCACAUUAAGUCCAUGGACCACAUCUUGCCCACUC
rnacentral:pre_miRNA from 11 species